rnacentral:rRNA from 1 species
UACGUAGGGGGCAAGCGUUGUCCGGAAUCAUUGGGCGUAAAGCGCGUGUAGGCGGCUCGAUAAGUCUGCUGUGAAAGUCCAAGGCUCAACCUUGGGAUGCCGGUGGAUACUGUCGAGCUCGAGUCCGGAAGAGGAGUGUGGAAUUCCCGGUGUAGCGGUGAAAUGCGCAGAUAUCGGGAGGAACACCAGUAGCGAAGGCGGCUCCCUGGGCCAUUCCUGACGCUGAGACGCGAAAGCGUGGGGAGCAAACAGG